rnacentral:rRNA from 1 species
AGAGUUUGAUCCUGGCUCAGGAUGAACGCUGGCGGCGUGCUUAACACAUGCAAGUCGAGCGGAAAUAUUUUAAAUGAAGGCUUCGGUUGGUUUAGCGGCGCACGGGUGAGUAACGUGUGGGUAACCUGCCAUAUACUGGGGAAUAAUCAUUUGAAAAGAUGACUAAUACCGCAUGUCGUCACUAAGGGGCAUCUCUUGGUGAAAAAAGGCCUCUGCAUGUAGUAAUCCGGUAUAUGAUGGACCCGCAUCUGAUUAGCUAGUUGGUGAGAUAACAGCUCACCAAGGCGACGAUCAGUAGCCGAUCUGAGAGGAUGAUCCGCCACACUGGCACUGGAACACGGGCCAGACUCCUACGGGAGGCAGCAGUGAGGAAUAUUGCGCAAUGGGGGAAACCCUNACGCAGCGACGCCGCGUGAGUGAGGAAGGCCUUCGGGUCGUAAAGCUCUGUCAAGAGGAAAGAAGUGUACAAUGGCUAAUUACCUUUUGUGUUUGACGGUACCUCUUAAGGAAGCACCGGCUAACUCCGUGCCAGCAGCCGCGGUAAUACGGAGGGUGCAAGCGUUAUUCGGAAUCACUGGGCGUAAAGGGCGCGUAGGCGGUUUGUAAGUCAGAUGUGAAAGCCCACGGCUCAACUGUGGAAGUGCAUUUGAAACUGUCAAGCUUGAGUACCAGAGGGGGAAGUGGAAUUCCCGGUGUAGAGGUGAAAUUCGUAGAUAUCGGGAGGAACACCGCGAAGGCGACUUUCUGGCUGGAUACAGGUGCUAAGGCGGACAAGCGUGGGGAGCAAACAGGAUUAGAUACCCUGGUAGUCCACGCUGUAAACGAUGUGAACUAGAUGCAGGGGGUGUUGAUCCCUGCUGUGUCGCAGCUAACGCAUUAAGUGAUCCGCCUGGGGAGUACGGUCGUGUCGCAAGGCUGAAACUCAAAGAAAUUGACGGGGGCCCGCACAAGGUGGAGUAGUUUAAUUCGAUGCAACGGAAGACUUACCUGGUUUGACAUCCACGGAACCCUCCCGAAACGGAGGGUGCCCUUCGGGGGCCGUGAGACAGUGCUGCAUGGCUGUCGUCAGCUCGUGUCGUGAGAGUUGGGUUAAGUAAGCGCAACCCUUGCCUUUAGUUGCCAGCAGUUCGGGCUGGCCACUCUAAAGGGACUGCCGGUGUUAAACCGGAGGAAGGAGGAAGUGACGUCAAGUCCUUAUGGCCCCUAUGACCAGGGCUACACACGUCCUACAAUGGCCGAUACAAAGGGCAGCGACACUGCGAGGUGGAGCUAAUCCCAUAAAAUCGGGCUCAGUCCGGAUUGGAGUCUGCAACUCGACUCCAUGAAGUUGGAAUCGCUAGUAAUCGAGGAUAUUCGAGAUCAGCAUGCUCGGGUGAAUGCGUUCCCGGGCCUUGUACACACCGCCCGUCACACCACGAAAGUCGGUUUUACCCGAAGCCGGUGAGCCAACCAGCAAUGGAGGCAGCCGUCUACGGUAGGGCCGAUGAUUGGGGUGAAGUCGUAACAAGGUAACC